GUUCCGCUGUGUAGAAUUCUAAUAUACAUGAUUUAUACUUGUGUUGAGCCUUGGGCGGACAGGGGAGGUGCUGUCCGUUCGGCGUCUGUUCGACGUGUCCGAACCGACCAAAUAGGCCGGUCCCGGAGCGUGACAAAAUAAGACUUCAAAACUCCUAAUUGUGUCUAAGUCAUAGAGUCUGUUUUAGGAAUUCUUAUGUAAUUUUGAAUCAUAUGUAACUUUGGAUUACACGCGAGAGGUUCGAUGUUUUGGUGAUGACAUUGAACUUCGUUUUUUAUUUGUGAUGUACUUUUAAGUUUUGUCACGAAAUUGUCAAAGGGAGAGAUUGUUAGGAAUUUUGUAUUGGCAAGUUUCGUGAUUUGAGUUGGAGUCUUGAAGGGUUCGGUUCGUGUUGUUGAAGAUCGAAGAAUUUGGGAUUCCGAAAAACUCAGAAAUAUUUCACUGGAUGAAUCACGAUGCUCAGGUAAG
rnacentral:lncRNA from 1 species